ensembl:lncRNA
CACACAUACACCCACACAUACAUGCAUACAUACAAACACACACAUACACCCUCUCUCUCAAUGUAAUUAAAAAUAAAGCCUUUAGUCAGGCAGUGGUAGCACACAUCUUUAAUCCCAGCACUCAGGAGGCAGGGUUGGGCAGAACUCUGAAAUCAAGGCCAAGCUGGUCUACAGACUGAGUUCCAGGACAUCCAGGGGUACACAGAGAAAUCCUGUCUCGAAAAACCUAAAUAAAUGAACAAAUAAAAAUCAAUAAAAUAAAAAAUGUAAGGCAUUCAGGAAGUCAGGUCAGAGCUGGAGUGUGCUGGUAAAAUGUUUCCCUAGCAUGAACGAAAGUAGUUUCAGUUCCCAGUGCCUCAAAACUGAGCAUCAUGGUGCAUGCUUUCAACUCCAGAGAAAUGGGAGGGGAUCAGGAGGAGUGCAAGGCUAGCCUGGGCUACAUGAGGAAUUCAAGGCUAGCUUGGGUUACACAGGAUGGCAUGGCUAGAAUAGAUACAACCCUGCAGCUUGUGUGUUCAAUGUUCGAGUCUCAGCUGGGAGCACAGCUUUGGUGGGAGAUGGGGCUUUGUUGAAAUGGAAGUCGCAGAGGCUGUGUCAGUGAAGUUCACGCCGGGUCCCUAACCCCUCACUCACUGGUUCAUCAAGCUGGACUCUCGUGGUAUCCAUACUCUGGCCUGUCGUGGUCUUCCUAUCUGAGCCGAGUAUACAUGUGUGUCGUGUCUCUCCAGGAGAAAUUUUGUUGCACAACAGGGUCCCAGAGAUUUGAACUCGGGGUCUCACGUUUGCACAGGAAGCUCUAUCUGUCCUGCCAGCCUCAAUUUUUGGACAUUGCUUAUCUUGUUCUUAAUAUAACUUACUUAAUGGAAAAUUUCUACCAUUGAUUGCAUUUAACGACCAGUUCACAAACAUCUUGAGACUGUAGCCUUGAGCGCCAGCAAGCCAGUGCCCCACACACCCCCACACAUGUGCUAACCUACCUGCUCUGGAUAAAGCCCUGUAUAUCCACUGACCAGCGCACGGUGUCACCCACUGCAUUCCAGGCACUGCUCUAGAGUCUGGGGACAGAACAGAGACUGAGCUGGCUCCUCUGCUGCAGGGCUCAGCAGGAGAGGCACAGGCUGCAGAUGACAGAGACACAGGCUGCAGAGGAUCCUGUCAGACAGUGGAGACGCCCUGGCAACAGGGCAGGACUCUGGGAGAACUAGUAGGAGCAGGCUAGAGCCAGAAUAAUAACAUGACCCGAGUCUGCUCUAGGAAAAGAUGGCAAGCACAGGAGACCAAGGCAGGAGGAGCAGGUGACAGCCUGGGCUACACAAGACAGAAGAAGAAAAGAAGAAGAAGAAGAAGAAGAAGAAGAAGAAGAAGAAGAAGAAGAAGAAGAAGAAGAAGAAGAAGAAGAAGAAGAAGAAGAAGAAGAGGAAGAAGAGGAAGAAGAAGAAGAAGAGGAGGAGGAGGAGGAAGAGGAGGAGGAGGAGGAGGAGGAGGAGGAGGAAGAGGAAGAAAGACAGCAAAGCGAAGCUUAAGUGAAAGGAAGGCUACCUCAGAGUGCAGCCACCAUUAGUACAAAGGCCUCAAAGUGAAGUGGGCAGCCCUUGCAUGUUGACCUCCAGUGGUGAUCCUCACAUGGCUGCAGGACUGAAACAGGACUCUGUAGGGUGUGAAGCCAAGGUCUUCUCUCUCUCUCUCUCUCUCUCUCUCUCUCUCUCUCUCUCUCUCUCUCUCUCCCUGCAAAUGAAUAAACUGGGGCCUCACUUCAUGAAACAUGGGGCCCAGAUUUGGGGUGUGGGAGUGGGGAGACUUGGCCCGACUCUAACCACUUGGCACCCUUGUCUCUGUGCUAUUGGCUGUGAGCAGAGAUCAACAGGCCCCAUUGCCUCCCAUUCUCCUCCCUGAGAGGGGCCAGAGCCCUUAGACUCUCCACUCCUCUGAAUAGGAACUCCUAGGGCAGCUUCGUGGGUAUCAAGACCCAGGAUGGACACCCAGUGUUGGGAUCACAACUGGUGUUCCCACCACCAUGACUGGAAACUGUGGUCAGCUCCACUCCUUUGAGCGUCUGCUGGAUUGGACUGGUCUGUGUGGGCAGAGGGAAGCAGAGAGCAGACAGGGAUGGAGUCACACACAGGGAGAGGCAGCAGACAUGAGUAGUAUGCUGCUGUCUAGCAGGGCAGACCAACUUCAUGGGUGUGAGACCCAGCCCUGAGUGUCUUCACUGUUCACCUCUCUCACGGGCAGCACAGUAAAGUCACUUGUAGAGUCUGACGGACAAGGCACUUUUAUUGUGCCUCGCAAAAAGAAACGAGCACGUAGCCCUUCCCUGUACUUGUCUGGCAGGGGAUUGAGAAACUAACAAAUGGGUUCCUUGUGGGUAGGGUUGUGUGGAUUAAGGAUGGGUGAGGAGAUGAGGACACGACUCAGUAGUCAUUUGCCAGCACUCACAAGGCUCUGGGUUCAGUCCCCUAUAGUGAAAAGAAGGGGAAGGAGGAGAGGGAAGGGGGAGGGGAGGGAAAGGGGAGGGGAGGGGAGGAAAAGGGGGAGGGGGGAGGAAGAAGACAAAAAGACAAGAAAGAAGAAAAAGAUAGAAAGAAAGAAAGGAGGGAAGGAAGAUGGAUAGAUAGAUAGGCAGACAGACAGACAGAGAGACGGAUGGAUUCUAGGGAUCUGGGUGGGUUCCACGGGGCCAUGAAGAUCCUUCUGUGGCACUGAGUCAUUAUAACAGGGGUGGGACUGAGAGAGGAGGGAGCCACAAGGUUUGGGGACAGGUCUUGCAAGUUCUGGAGUCUGAUUUUUGCUUUUCGUUUUGAUGCUUUAGCUCAGCCAGGACCCUGAGUCCUACGCACAGUGCGAGGAGGGCCACAGGCAGGCUGCUUGAAGCAGACAACUGUGGCGGCUGAGCCCAAGCCGGUUCGAUAUUGUAUUGACAAAUUCACCUUGGCAACCUGAAGCCCACUUCCUCAAGAGCGCAGGGACCUCACGGUGAUACUGUGUCUUAAAGGCACCUCCAGAGCCUCUCCUAGCUGGCCUACGAGUAGGCGAAGGGGGACAGAACCAAGCAGGAUCUAAUGAGGGGGCCAUUUGUGUCCCCACCCUCUCUGGGCCCAGAGACCUCACAGCAAAGCCUCUAAUCACAGUUGCCAGACACAGAGGCUCAGCUUUAGUGCCAGACUACUGUAGAGAUGGCAUCUGAGGGCCAGAGGAGCCCACUGAGGGAGAAAUCACGGUCGUACGUUACUACUGAUCAGGCCUCUAAUGAGAAACAUGGAAACUGCGGCGACUAAUCAAUGUCGCUCAAAUCAUCGGAUCGGGCUCUGUGGGCCGUGUCCACAAAUGCCUCCUUUUCUCUCUGAGGAGCAGGGCUGCCAGGAGCAUGGGAUGCAGGCUGCAGGACAUGCCCAGGUCCAUGCAAGGUCUUUCCUCGCUGACCCUUCAACCCCUGAGAGUCAGAACACAGGCAUGACUCCAACCCCUGGGUCAGCCCGAAGAGCUAGUGGGGAAAAGUCUGGGCCCAGCUUGUUUCUCGGUAGCUUAACUCCGUACAGCGUAGAAUCCGUGUCUGACUGUCAAGAUCUGUUUGGGGAAAAAAGGCAGAAGGCAGGCAGGGCACAAACGGAACGUACCUCUGGUGGGAAAACAGGAAGGAGAUGAGAAGAAAGCCACUGUAGCCCAGUGUGGGAGGGAGAAUCCUCAGCCUGUCUCUGUGUGUACUUAACAGCUGCGGCUGUCUUUUAGAAUUCCAAGAAAGCGUGCUCUCCCACACCAGCUCCUACGGAUGAUUUCCGUGGCUCCAUACAACAUUCCUUGGCUUUUAUAGUACUAAUUCUUGGUCCCCCGGGGUGGGAAAAUAAAAUCCAGCCAUCACCAGCAGGUUGAACAUCGGAAGUAUCUCGCCUCUCUAUGGCACUGCAUUUGAGAGGCGACUCCAUUCUCUCUAAUAGAAGCUAACACCAGCUUCAGGCAAAGGGGUGGGGGUGGGAGGCCUCUUCUGAACCUUCCAAUUCAAACUAGUCAAAGAAUAUAGAAUCACCCCCAUUACAAUCAUUACUGUCAAGUCGCAGGGCAGUCAGCUCACUGACAUAGGCCAGACGGACAUCCGGGAGAAAUUGGUACUGCCAGAGCCACUUCUGUGGAGAGAAGGGAAGCAGCAGGCUUGGUGCUUCUAUUCUGGCUCCGUCUGUCUGCUGCUUCCACAGCCCCUGUACCUGCUGCUUCCACAGUCCCUGUACCUGCUGCUUCCACAGUCCCUGUACCUGCUGCUUCCACAGUCCCUGUACCUGCUGCUUCCACAGCCCCUGUGUCUGCUGCUUCCACAGCCCCUGCAGCCAUAGGUUCAGAGAAUUCUGCAGGAAGGGGAAGUGGCCAGAAGAUGCCCACGUUUCAGGCCUGGGUCCCAGAGAUGUCCUUCCACAGCCGGAACCAGCUUACAUUCUGACCUUCAUGGAGUCCCACUACAUCAGCCCUCAUGAAACAGUAUUAAAAAGUGUAUCUUUGGGGGUUGGGGAUUUAGCUCAGUGGUAGAGCGCUUGCCUAGCAAGCGCAAGGCCCUGGGUUCAGUCCCCAGCUCCAAAAAAAAAGAAAAAAGGGAAAAAAAAGUGUAUCUUCAAGCUGGCCUGGUGACACAUGCCUUAAAUCCCAAAAUGUGCAGGAGGCAGAUACAGGUGCAUCGGAAAGUCGAGCCCAGCCCGGCCUACACAGGGUUCCGGGACAGACAGGGUGACCCAGUGAGAUCCUGUCUUAAAAGAAAAAAAAUUAUACCCUCAACCCUGUUGGCAUAAUGACUAGCAGGCUACAGUGAAAACUAAAAAGUUCCCUCUGACCUUGUUUGUGGUCCUGAUCUCAACGACACAUGUCUCUACCUGUGAUGGAAUAUUAUUCAGGCUUCCUAAGGAAGGGGAUUCAGACACCUGUUACAGCAUAGAGAACGCCACGGGCCCUGUGAGCAGGACACAGGAAGGCAAUGCUAUGGGAUUCCCCUUAUAGGAGGCCUUAUGGCAGUCAGAUUUAGGGGUGGAGCCACAGCUGGCCACUCCGUGGUGAUGGAGGGAGGGAGGGUGAUUGACAGAGAGGCGAGACUUGUCGCCCCUGCAAGAGGCCCCGGUGGGUAUCCCAGCACCCCCAUGGCAGCUCAUAAUCAUUUACAACUCCAGGGGAUCCGUUUCCUUACACACACCACAUACGUAAUAAAAUAAAGAUCUUUCAAAAAGAGUCGAGUUCACAGAGGCAAUGAAGAACGGGGACUGUGAGUAUUUAAUGAAGACAGGUCUCCGUGUGGGAGAAUGGAAGAUUCUACAAGUUCGGGAGUGGCCUGCCUAACAACGUGUGUGAGCUUAACAUAGCUAAACUAAGCACUAAAAGACGAAGCCAGCAAACAGUGUGCUAUGUAUCUCACCCAGUUUUCUUCCCACUGCUGGGGUAGAACGCAGGGCCCCCCACAUGCUAAAAAGGCCCUGCCCCUGAACCAUGUCCUCAGCCUGUUUGAUCAUCCGUGUAUCCGUGUAUCUUUAUUCUUGUUUGUUUGGUUUUAUAACAAGUUUUGCUUAAUUUCCCAAACCGGCCUUGAACUGAAGAUGGUUUUGGGGCGGUGGUGGUACACACCUUUAACCUCGGCACUCCGGAGGCAGAGGUGUGCAGAUCCCUGAAUUCUGGGCCAGCCUGGUCUAUGGAUGUAUAGAUCUACAGAUCCAGAUCCAGGCCUGCACAGGGCUACACAGAGAAACCCUGUCUGGGGAGUGGGAAGGGGGAAGAGGAAUAAUUUAAGAUUCUCUCCCCUCGAGGGCUGGAGGGAUGGCUCAGUGAUUAAGAACACUUGGUCGUCUUCUAUCUGUCAACCAGGGUUAAGUGGCCUCAAGUGAUUCACCACUUCCUGUAGCUUCCGAAGGACAGACCCAAUACCCUCCUCUGGCCUCGGUGGGCACUGAACAUACACAUACACGUACACCAAAGGAAAAUGAAGAAAAGAUUCUCCUGCAGCAGGCUACUAAGUAGUUGGGAUGGCAGGCACGUACUACCAUGUAAAGAUCACCACAAAUUUUAAAUAUAUGAUUUCUAAAAAUAAAUUAUGACACAGUGUGAUGCCGCUGCACACUUCUGAUCCCAGCGCUCAGGAGGUAGAGGCAGGCAGAGCUCUGUGAGUUCAAGGCCAGCCUGGUCUACAUGUCCAGUUCUGUGCUAACCAAGGCUACAUAGUGGGGGACCUUGUCCCGACCAAAUGAAAACCCAUCAACCGAAAAGUAAUAAAGGAAGUUAAGACUGGGGACGCAGCUCGGCUGGUAGACCGCUUUUGUGACACGCACAAACACCUGGAUUUCAUCCCCAGCACUGCGCACAAUCCAGGGUGGUGGCACACAGCUGUAAUCCCGCCAGCUCGGGAGUCAAGAACAAGAGGAUCGGGAGUUCUAGAUCAUCCUCGACUUCAAAGUUUGAGGCCAGCUCGAGCUACAUGAGACCAUGUCUGGAAAAAAAAAAAAUGAGAACAUCUUCGGAAAUCCCUGAGCGUAGUGGGCACUGCACUGGAAAUGGAGAAUUGUCCCGAAGGAUUGCAGGGUGGCUCCCCACAGGAGCCUGCCCUUUUCUCAUACAGGCAGUUCUUCCAGCCAAUGGCUAGGGGCGGAGGCAGGGGGUGGGGUGUGGGAUGGGGUGGGGGGGGUUAUCUGGAAGGUCACCCGGGUGAUUAUAAAUACGUAUCUUUCAAGACACAGUCUGAAGCUGGAAGUCUGAAGUCUGAUGACCCCGGCCUGUAAUCCUCCCGUUCAGGAGGUAGAGGGAGAUGGACAAGGUGUUUGCAGCCUAGGCUACAAGAGGCCCUGUCUCAAAACAAAUAAAUAAAACCCAGAGAGACACGAUGUGGCCCAUGCCUCAUCCUUCUGAAGGUCAUGAUAAUUGUGUAAGUCUCUGGGUCACUCUUCCCCUACCUAAGGUAUCUCUUGGGACUCUAAUCUCAAUCAUGGUCACCAUGAAGCAGCCAUCGGUGAGGAAAAUAUGAACACUUCUCUUUGAGAUGGGGUCUCAUGUAGUCCAGGCUGACCUUGCACUCCUAGCUCUUCCUUUCUUGUCAACUGCUUACAUUAGAGAUAGGAACUUCUGUACCGUGUUAGGCUUCUUAUAGAAGGCCAUGCGUUUACCUGCUGACCUUUUCCAGUUCUCCCAGGACCCUCCACUGCUGACCCCACUGCUGGCUUCCCCACAUACCUGCCCCUUCUUCGAAGUUCUUUUGAGAACAGAACAAGGGUGCCUUGAACUCUUUUAAAGGCUUCCAAUUUAACAAUGAACACUUGCCUCUCAGGAGACUCCUUUCUGGGUGGAAGGGCACCAAGCUUGGGGUGGGGGGUGGGGGUUGUGGAGAGAGCUCAGAGGAAACAAUGGCCCUCACCUAGAAUGUGUUCAGUCUUGAGUGUUCAGGAACUCCUAGGGUUCAAAGUCUCUCAGAGGAAGGCUGUUUCUAUCCAAAGGCUCAGGAGUGUGAAGGCGGGGUUGAGCACAGGAGGCAGGGCCUUCGAAGAUUGCUCGGCCAACCCCAGCGACAGGGAAACACCCCUACAAACACACUGGGCCCAGCUUACAGUCAAAGAGACUAAGGACAGACGGGGCAGUCUGGGACCUCGAGCCAGCCCGAGAGGAGCCCGCCCCCUAGGGGAGGGCUCCGCAAGUGCAGGCCUCUGCGCCCCUGCCCCAGCUCCGACCACUGAGCACUGGAGCUGGCAGGUGAGGGGCCAAGCGGAUGUCCCAGGAGUCCUCAGGGACCACCCUGGAAAACAUCUUGGUGAAGUGAAUUGAGCCAGGGACUUCUUGACCGAGACUAUCUUUCUGGAGGUGGAAUCAAAGGGACACCCACACAUCUCAGGAUUCAGGAGGGCCAGAAGGUUGGACUGAGUGACCACAUCCCUCGACUUCGUCAUCGCGCGUGGGGGUGGGGCCUGGACCCGGGAUGUUGGGGGCGCUCCACGGGGAAGGACGAAGUUGCACCCAGGUCAGAGUAGGUUGUAGAAAUGCCCAAAGCCCAGUUCCACAAACACGAUGUAGAAUUUGGGGGUGUGGGGGUGCUCAAGGCGUAAUCUGCAGGCCAGGCAGCAAGCGUGGGCCCUACCAGCCGCCAUCCACCGCCAAAAGAUCCCCGACCACCAUCUUCGUUCGGUCCUAGGUCCUGCGGGGGACAACCCCCCCACUCCACCCCCAGGUGUUCAGCGUAGCUUGCGGCGCUCCCUCCCCAGGGGAUCGAUCGGCUGGCGGCGACGCGCAGCCCGGGCUCCCAGCCUUCGCCUCCGCCCCCUCCCCCGCUCGGGCUGCGCAGGACGCGGCCUCCGAACAGCGUCCUCGCCGUUCCGGGCCGCGGCCAGACCGGGCUCCGGGCCAGCCAGAGAGGUGGAGACGCGCCUGGCCUUUCCGAUCCGACCCGCCCCUCUGCCCAGGGUUUUGGGGGAACCAGACGAAACCAAGCCCAGAUACUCUGCCUGCUGCGCCCGGCGCCCCCUCUUCUCCCACCUAGGAUUCAAAUACCCCCCUCGGGCGCGCGCUUAACCCUGUGCGCGCCGUGAGGCUGGAGCUGGGGAGGCGGGUGGGGGCGGGGAGGCGGGGGCGCCUCGGCUGACGAUCUCUUUGGGGUCCGCCGGAGCGAUUUUCAUUUCAUUCCGGGGCUGGCUGCAGCAGCUAGCUCUGGUUAGGGGGAAAAAAGAAGAAAGAAAGAAAUCUGGCUUGUGUGUGGGCCCCGCUGGGUUUGGGCGCACGACGGGGGCACCCGAGAGCAAAAUGCAAGGGGAGGGUGUGUCGGGGCGCACCUCCAGGCCAGAGGGGACCCUGGGCCAGGCGGUGGGCUAACGAAACCCAAAUAAAAAGCACAGGGUUUGCCGAGGCCGUUGUUCGCGCGUGCUAGCAGCAGCGGUGGGCGAUUGUGUCGGCUUCAAAGAUCAUAUAUAAAAUAUGGUCCCGGGGGCGGGGAUCCCCAGGGCCGCGGAGCCUCCCGAUUGAGCGCGGGGCACGAGGCGGGUAGGCUCCUUCAGGCCAGCCUGGGGAGGCCUCUUGAGGUUGAGCAGUGGACGUCGCAAUCCCCCACCAGUCCGGCUUCGGCGCCCGCGGACCCCGGCGUGCCGCAAUGCGGAGGCACGGCCCUACAGGGCCUGUGUGGCCCCCAAGGGUGCCCAGGUCCUGCCAAAGGGCCACUGCUUCAUUGCCCCCUCCCUCUGAGCCCGCGGCCCCGCCUGUGUACCCUGCCAUCUCUAGUCUAUCUACACCGCAGAUCCAGCACCACGCGGGUUCUUAGAGUGGGACCUGGGGGUGUGUGGGGGGAGGCUUCGCGGUGCAAAUGAAAACAAAUCCUUCGCGGGUGGCGUAACAGAGGGCAAAAUAGGGGUGGGGGGGACGCGCGGAGGAGAUCCCUGGCAAACAAAGCCUUUCUUCCUGGAGUGUGCAAGGGAAGGAGUGUAGGGCUCCCUCCCGCACGCCCUCUUCUCCACCCCACCCCCAGCAGUUUCACCCGGUCAGCUCCCCCCUAAGCUAAGCCGCCGCUUAAAAACUGUUUUACGAACGUCAGCUCUCAAGUCAAAGACAAUUUCCCUACUAAGGACGUGGCAGAGAAAGGAGCCCUUGCAGUUUGGUAGUCAUACCCACUGAAAUCCCCUUGUCUGUCUGAAAUCCACCCGGGGCUGCUGGUCCCGGAAGCUUCAGGCCCCCUCCUCCAAACAGAGCCCAGAGUUGGGGGUCAGAGGGUGGCGAUGGCAAUCUCCCGUGGACCGAGAACCCAUUCACCGAGACGGCUCCUUUAAGAAGUUUAUCCCCCCCCCCCCAACCCCGGUCGGCGCGGGUCAUGCUUGUUCCAAGACUGGAUUCUCAGUAACUAUUCUCCACUCUUCGGCCAUUAAAAAGUUCCCAGCCUCUCCGGGAUCCGUUCCUUUGCCCCACCUUUCUAAACUCGAGCCUACCGCUGGGCGAGGGAACAUCGCUCCUCUCUUGGGGCCCCUGAAGGCCCCUGGGGGCCCCAGCCCGUGGUGGCAUCUGGAGGGCUUCUGUUUCUCAGUAGAGCGGACGGAACUACUCACCCUGUCUGGAAAGGGGCAGUAUCAAGUGCACUGGAUUAAGGAGUCAUAUAAAGGUUCCCGUGGGGCCCCUGGGCAUCCCCGGUUGAGGACAGGGGCCCCAGUAGAAGGCUCUGGGAAUCCCGGGUUUGGAGUCAGUCUCUCCCGUGAUUCCCUCGGAGGUGCCGAGACAGGGGCUUGGAAAGGUAGGGGCCGCCCCAAGGGAGGCUUUCUAAGAAGGAUUUGGACAUAUCGGGUGACCUCAUUGGCCACCCCCGGGCUUCUGCCCGGCUUUCUCCCAGCCUCGUACUCGGGCUGGUGGCUCUGAGCUGUCCCUACGGUAGCUGUCACAAGAGGGUUGGUCUAGGACUUGCCUUCAUGUAAGGACAGGGAUCCAGGGUAAGUCACUUUCUUCAUCUGCCCACCCUCCACGAGGACUAAUAACAGCCUGAGAGAAGAGAGUUGCUGCGUUGGCGAGCACUUCUGUGUUUCAGUCACCUCCAAAGCUGCCCACGGCGAGGCCUUUGGAGGGCUGGGCAGUGGCGGGUGGCAAUCGGUGUUUGAGGUGAUUCCAGGAGGCCCCCUCCGCAGUUAGGGAGCCGGGAGGUUCCUAUGGUUAUAUCAUAUGCAACUCCAGAAAAGAUCCUCUGACGAGCUCUUCUUUCCCGGCUUGCCGAGUGGUUCCUGCGCAAACGCGGCGUCGGUGCACCUAGCUCCUUUCAGUGGCCCCUAAGGUUCAGAUCUGGGCCCCUGAGGGCCCCGGACCCAGUGAGCGCAGCUGUUGCUAUACAGCCCAACGCCCCUGGUGGCGGAUAGGCUGCAAACGGCUGCCCUCCCUCCCCUGAGCUUGGGUUCUGGAUAACGCAGGAAACACCCAGAGUAAACAGAUUUUCCUGGGGAUUUUUGAGUAAAGAGACCGACAUUGUUGGGAAGCUCAGCUUCCCAGACUGAGGAACUGGCCUACACAACGUUGCUCCAGACCUCCUGAAUGGCCGGCUGUGCCAAUGACCUGGGUGGCUGAGGUCUACCCACUGUGACCCCACGGAUCUCGCGGACCCACCGGUGGCGCCCUCGGAAGGCCACGUCUGGCGCAGCAGCUCCCCCAGCCGGACGCUGGAGCUGAACGUGCGGGGCUGGGCGGCUCCGAGGUGCUAAACUUCACACUCCAGGUCUCCAAAGGCUGUGUCAGCAGGGCUUGGCUGUCAGAGACCAGGGGACGGAAAUUCAGGAGGAAUAUGUGGCUCCCUGGCCAUUCCAGUUCCCCUCCCCUUCUCGCGGCCCACUCAUCCACCAACCCUCAGCCUCAACUUUCUACUUGGUCCUCCCUACUCUUUAUUUUGAGGUUCUCACAUGUACCCCCACGAAGUCCUCUUGGACCUCCAGUCAAGUCAGACUCAUACACUCCCCCAUAUUAUCAUAUCUCCUCUCUCUCUCUCUCUCUCUCUCUCUCUCUCUCUCUCUCUCCCUCUCCCUCUCCCUCUCCCUCUCCCUCUCCCUCUCCC